rnacentral:tRNA from 1 species
GCCCGGUUAGCUCAAUCGGUAGAGCGUGAGACUCUUACGGAGGUCACGUAAUCUCAAGGUUGCGGGUUCGACCCCCGCAUCGGGCU